CGACCAGAAAUGUCUUGAGCAGCUGGUCGCGCUGCCCUGUGGCGCGUGGCGAAGGUGGGUCACGUGGGCGGGGCGGUGUGUCCUCAGGCAGCGAGCGAGCUAUUCCGCUGGCCGGAGUGGGGUGGGCCGGGUGCUAAAGGGCAGGUGUACCCAGGGAGGUGCCGGUGAACGGAGAUGUGCCUUCGCCAGCCUCGGGGAGCGGACGGGGCAGCGCAGGCGGCGGCGGCCACUCGCUGGAUAGGUUUGCGCCCCAACCCCUCCCCCGGGGAAGUCGAGCAAGCAGGACAGCCAUUGAGCGCCCGAUCCUGAGUGUGGGUCCCACCUGGAGGAGGAGACGGUGUGUGUGACUCCCCUCCAUGGAGUAGAGAGUGUGGGGCACGUGGUAGGUGCCGAAUAAACAUUUGUUGAGUGAAAGAGAGUUUGGGACCCUUGGGACAAUUCUGAUGACUCCAGGUGCCUUCCAUCCCUAAUCACCGCUAAGGCUGUCCUGUAAGUUGAAGCGCACCUCUGAGAGGAAGCUCUUGUUGUCGUGCUUGAAACCAAUGUCUUCAUGCCCGACUCCACUACCCUUGCCUCCAGACCUAGGCCAGUUAGAACAUCAAAUCCAGGAGAAGGCACACCUUGGAGCAAACACCUGGUGCUGUAUAACGUCUCCUUGGCCCACCUUGGCAGUUUGAGGACCGAUCAGACUCACCCCACCUUGGUGGGGUCCCACCUAAAAUACACAACCUCCUGCAUUUCUGCUUCUGCUGCAGACUGGAGUGGCAACCAGAAUGACUUGACCUAGGGAUCUGUGGCCAUGCAUGUUGGACCAUAGCGUUCUUUGGGAUAAAAUAGAUAGGCAGCUGACUAGAGUGUUAAUUGAUUUGAAUAACCAGAAAGAAACAAAGAAUUUGUGACCAGAAGGCAGAUGUCAGUUGCUGCUGUGGAAAUCAGGAUCCCUCCCUCCGUUUAAAUCUGAGCCAGUUCUGAGACCUGGAGUCCACUGGUUGAAAGGGAGGCUUGGUCCUUCAAGGAAGGAUCCUGUGAUGCCACUGAAAGCAUAUGAAAAAAAAAAAAAGUCCUCUAAUCCUUCCCCAGAGGAACCUAGAGCCACUUAACAAAUAAUUUGCUUUGGGAAAGGGACUAUCCAGCCCUUUCAAGAGCUGUUAGAUACAGGAUCUGAGACACUUGUGCCAAGGUACCUGAAGCAUCAUGAAACACUGGUUAGAGUAGGGACUAUGGAAGCCACAUAAUAAAUGGAAUCCUGACCCAAGUCCUGUGGUUACUUUUUUGGUCCCAGUACAUCUUGGGAUAAUUAUACCUAGCAGUGGGCAGAGCCUAUACAUUGAUCCCUGACCUGUGGAAUCAGAAUCGUGGGAGGAUGAGCAAAGUGAAGCCCCUGAAACUACCCCCACACUGACUCUCACGUCCUCUAGAACACUGUAGCAAGAUUCUUGCAUGAAGAGUCGUGACACCGAGGCUUUUCUUUCCAGGAAGCAACUUUAUUCCUGCCGGCACCGCUCAGUUGGGUUCGUACCCGAAGAACUGAGCCCUGAAUGCCUCGUGGUGUAGUUUUAAAAAUAUAUAUAUAUAUUUUUUACCUCUUUGUGUCCCAUAUAUGGUAACACACAAACAUGUAGUCUGAUUAAGUGGUCUCAUGUUACAAGAUCACAACGGAUGUUGUCACGUAUGCGUAUAGCCAGGUUGCCUUGAGGUUUUUUUUCUUUCCUUAGGGAGGGGACCCUACCACAAUACUAAAGCAGAAACGUGCUGCAUUCCUGGUGGGACUGCAGAGAUUUGUCACUCUCAGAGACAUGAAGUGGUGAUGCCCGUUACAUCUUAAGUUCACCUGAAUGGCCCCUGCAGAAUCCAGGUGGAUUCGAGUAAAUGGUGGUGAGCCACACCACAAACUUAGCCAAGUAGUAUCCCCAGUCACAGCAGCUGUGUCAGGUGAGAUAUUUUUACUGGAACCAAUUCAUGCACCACUGGCACUUAGUAAUGCAGUUCUCAAUUUGGUGAACAUUCUUUUCAAUUUCCAGUAGUAAAGAGUAAAUUCCCAAAAGCGUCUCACGUUUUUAUAGGAGGAACAGCUGAACAUAUUCAUUGUCUUACUUCAAGCUGGUUUUAACUUUCCUGCUCUCCGUCACAAUUAAUCCAUUGAGCUCUCGAUCAUCCAGACAUUCCACAUAACACUGAUGACAUCGUGCUAAGUGGACAUGGUGAAGAAGGAAGUGCCCAGUAUUCUGUCCUUGAUAAAACAAUGCAUGGCAGAGGAUGAGAGAGAAACCCUCAGAAGUUGUGAGGCUGGGGCGCCUGGGUGGCUCAGUUUGUUAAGCAUCUGACUCUAGGUUUCGACUCAGGUCAUGAUCUGACAGAUUUGUGAGUUCGAGCCCCGCCUCGGUCUCCUGUGCUGACAGCACAGAGCCUGCUUGGGAUUCUCUUUCCCCCUCUCUCCGCCCCUCCCCCCACUCACUCUCUGUGUCUCUGAAGUAAAUAAAUAAAUAGAAACUUAAAAGAAGUUGUGGAGCCUGUCAUCAGUGAAGUUUUCAGGGUGCACUGUUGUAGGGCGAGCCAGGGUAUCACCUCUAAGAUGAGGAGAAGUUGUAUCUUGCAACCCUGUCACAAAGAAGGAUGCAUAGUACUUGGCGCACCUCUGGGUUUUGGAGUUGGCGUGUACCACGCUUGGGAAUACUAUUCUGACCCAUUUGUUGGGUGACUUGAAAAGCUGUCAGUUUAGAGUGGAGUCCAGAACAAAGGAGGGCUCUGCUGAUCCAGAUUGGAGGAUGGGUUCCCCUGCCACUUAGCAGAACCGGUGAGUUAGUGUUGGGCUUAUUUGUGGUAAGUAGCGACCCUAUAUGGCACCUUUGGCACGCUCCCACAGAUUUGUAGUGCGUACGCAGGGUUUUGAAGCAAAGCCAUGCCUGCUGCAGUAGAGAACUACUCACCACUUGAAAGAAGCUUCUGGCACACUGCUGGACCCAAGUAGAGACUUAGCGCCUGAUUAUGGGGCACCAAAUGACCAUGUGACCAAAACUGCCUGUCCUGAGCUAGAUCUUGACAGAUCCAUGAAGCCAAUGGGUUGGGUAGGUUCAGCAGCAAUUCAUUGCACAAAAAGAAUUGGAUCCAAGCUUGUUCAGAGAGCACCAGUCAUUUACAGGAAGAGAUGGCUGUGGCCCCCAUGUCUCUGUGGCACUGAUGCCUCUAUCUUAGAAGACAGGAAGAAAAAUUCAGAUCUGAAUCACUGCUGCACUACAGCCCCAUUCAAAGUGGCUCUAAAGGAAAGUAAUGGGGGGACAUCCUCUAGAGGGCAGAGCUUCGAGCAGUACACUUGGAUAUCUACUUUGUAGGGAGGGAGUGGGGUGGACAGAGUAGUGGCCUAAAGAAAGAAUGCACAUGAAGUUCUGAGUGGUGACAGAUGUCUUGCUGGUUGGAAAGAGCAAGAGGGGAAUGUUGGAGACAAGGAAUUCUGGAAAAGAAGACGAGCCUAUGAAGUUGUCACAAAUGUGUGCAUCUUUGUGCUUCAUAUUAAUACUCACUGCGGAGGGGUCACCGAAUGACAAAGUGGAUGGAUAGAUGUCAUCCAGCCUGUGUUCUUGGCUACCCUUGUGCUUAAAUGGUGGGCCUGUGAAUGGAGUUGCUAUGUUGGCAGGAGUGCAAGUUAUGUCCACUAACAUGGGCUCUCUCUUAUCGAGGCUUAUUUAAUUAUUACUGAAUUAUUAUUACUAAUGGUCACUGAAUUUCUGACCUCUUAGCAGCCAGUAUCAGUGCUGAGCCCCAAUAUGGCACCAUCCCUAGAUGACUCAGUGACAAGUUGGUUUUGGCAGAUCCUUGCCACCCAGGAGACGGCAUUGAUUCAUCCUUAUUGGAACUGACACCUGCUCUGGCUGUGGGUUUGCUUCCCUAUAUCCACAUAUCCACAUAUCCAUGUAGCCACAUAGCCACACAGCCGUGUAUCCACAUAUCCGCACACCCACACACCCACACAUCCACACAUCCACAGUAUCUCAGAGUAACGUCCUUAUGCAGGAGCUUAGAGAAUACUGGAUUUACUAACAUAGGAUCAUGUAUAACAUUAUCUUGGGCCAAGAAACUCAUUUCGCAGUGAAAGAGAUACAAUGAUGUAUGAAUGGCCAUGGGAGCCACUGUUUCUCUAAUAUCCUGCAUUGUCCACAAGCAGCCCAUCUAAUAGAGAGAUAGAAUGACAUCUUUCUAGCAAAGGUCCUAGCUCUGGACAGUACCUUAAGGAGUUCAGAUACAUACACUGAAUCACAGCCCGGUAUAUGGUGCUAUCCCCCAGUAGAUGCAAUAUAGGGAUCCAGGAACAAAGACACAGGUCUAAGAACCCAUGGGUUGGGAUAUCUUUCAUCACCAUGCUCAGUGGUCCAGAGCACCAGGAUCCUUUCAUCAUCCAAAGAUGAUCCUUUCAUCAUCCAAAGCUCAGUUUGUAGAAUUUGCACAUUCUGUCUCUGCAAAAUUAAACUCUGCUGUUCCCAGGUAGAGAACAUUUAUUUCCAUGAGGGGACUCCACUGGUUCCAGGGAAGGACACCCACACAGAGCCUCAGUCUGAAAAUCCUAUAGGGUCAUUUUGAGCUCCUCAUGCUUGUGAACCAGCAGGCAAAGGAGUGGAUAAUUGAUCCUGAUGAUUAUGAGGAGAUAGGGUUACUGCUACUUAGGGGGCCUUCAAGAGUUUGUCUGGUACUUUGAGGAUUUACUUUGGGGUCUGGUUGCUUCCAUGCCAAGUGAUAACAGUGAAAAGACAUUUUCAGCAGCCUCAGCCUGCCAAGGGCAAGGGAACCAAGGGCUCAGAACACCCAGGAAUGAACGACUGCGUAACUUCAUCAAAUGCUGGCUGAGGGUGAGGGAAGUCUAGAAUAGGCAGAGAAGGGAGAUAAUAAUGAGUAUGAGUUAUAGCCUUAGGAGCAGCUGCAAUAGUAUGGACUAUUUUUGUUCUGUUAAGGCUUUUGUAGAGGUUGUGACCAGCCUUCACCUCAAAGAAUCAUGACAGAUUGGACUUAAUGUGGCGCGUGGGUAGAUCUGAGGGCUGUAAGGGCUGGUGUCUUGACUAAUGCCCUCAGCACACCUUUAAUUACAGUGGGUUUACAGAGAUGCCUCCCUGGCACCUGCUGUAUAUCUACACUUUCUGCCCGAGCCCUUCUCUGACACCACAGGAGCCCACCUGACCUGCUUAGCAGCACAGCCCAGUCUCUAGAGGUAACCCCAGGGGCUGGGGACAGAAGGCAGUGGGUGAAUAAUUGGAGAAUCCUAGGAGACAUUCUGGACACUUCUCAGGAGGUCCUGGUGAAGUCAAGGUUGUUAGCCAGAGCAGUGACCUUAGGAACACUAUGUUUUGAUUCCUCCUUUCCUGUCUCACUCACCCCCUCCCUCACUUUCAUUUCAUGGCAUCACUUCCUGAGCAAACCACUUAUACCCAAGUCUCCGCCUUAGGCUCUGCUUUCGGAAGAACCCAAACAAAGACACACAAUAAAAGAACAGAGAUUUUUGCCAAUUUAUAUCCACAAAAAAAUACUGGAGAAUAUGUGUGGGAAUGGAUUACAAGGAUACAAAGCCAAGAACGAAUUGUAGAUUAGUUCAAAUUUAUCGACAUGGCUGUACUUACUCCAAACAUUCUGGAUUCAGUGUUUGGGCUAAAGCCCUGGGAUAAGUUGUAGCUGUGCUUAGUUGGCUGAAUGGAGCCUGGACUCAUUGGCAGCCUGCACUGUGAGAAGGUGAGAAUGUGCUGGAACAGACUUGUUAUGUAUCUAAUGGCCGCCAGUCUCCCGUCUCUGUUUCUCUUCAUUAAUCCAUUAUGUUGAUUUGAAAAUAUGUUAGAUUAUGUCAUGAAUUUCUUUUCAAGAUGGUGAAGGGCUGUAAAAUAUUUGAUAUGUGUCGGGUCUGUUGGGUCUGUGAACCCUAACUGGUCUCAUUUGUGCCCAUGACUCAAUUGGCAUCUAUAUGCUUGUGCUUCAAUAGCAGCUGGCCUCGGCUUAAUAUUCUCGGGUCACCGUUAGUUUCCUAUUGCCACUGUAACAAAUUACCACAACCUUGGUGAUUUAAAACAACAGAAAUGUACUCUCUCACAGUCCUGGAGGCCAGAAGUUUGAAAUCAGGGUCACUGGGCUGAGAUCAAGGUGGCAGCAGGGCUGCUCUGAGGGAGAGUCCAUUCCUUGCCUCUUCUGGCCUCUGGUGGCCUCUGGUGGCCACAGAUGUUCCUCAGCAUGUGGCUGCCCCACUCCAGGCUCUGCCUCCAGGGACAACAUCGCUUCCUCCUCGUCUGACUAUGUGAUCUCCUUCUGUUUUUCUUAUAAGGAAACUUAUGAUCACAUUAGGGCCAACCGGGUAAUUCAGGAUCAUCUCCUCAUCUCAAAAUCUUUAAUUUGAUCACUUCUGUGAAGAUCCUUUUUCCAAAUAAGGUCACAUUGACAGGUUCUGGGUUAGGAUGUGGAUGUCCAUUCGGACAUGGUUUUCUCAGCCCCCCACAGUACUUUCCCUCAGAGCUCCCAGCUCUUUGCUUCAUACUGCUCCAGUAUUGGAUAUUACAGUUGAAAAGGGCAAUAGUUUUCUCCCUUGAACAUGGUUUCAUUUUUUUUUUUUUUGCCUGUAUACUUGAAGUAUGUUAUGUUUACGCUGAAUGGAUCUUCUACUUAUGUAUAAUUUUGAAACAUCAUUCAUCCAUCGGUUAUUUGGAAAAUAUUGGCUCACUAAGUUACAUAGAUCUUCCAAAUUUGGACACAUUUUAUUAUAUAUUAUCAAAAAAUAUUUAAGCAUUGGGAAACUUUAAGCUCAUGGUGAUAGACACAGGUUUUCCAAAAUUCUAAUUUUUGCUUAAAAGCUCAAAAAAUUUUUUUAAGUUUAUUUAUUUAUUUUGAGAGAGAGAGAGAACGUGUGUGAGCAGGGAUGGGGCAGAGAGAGAGAGAGAGAGAGAGAGAGAGAGAGAGAGAGAGGAGAAUCCCAAGCAGGUUCUGCACUGUCAGUGCAGAUGCUAAUGUGUUGCUGUAUGUCACAAACCGUGAGAUCAUGACCUGAGCCAAAAUUGAGAUCAGAUACUUAAUGUACCGAACCAGCCAGGUGCCCCAUAAAAACUCAAAUUUUAUCAAAUACUAUCAGUUCUUUUCCUUGAAGUGACAUGCUACAUUAUUCAUUUUUGAGAAAGUGUCUUCCAGAUACCCAAGUGAGAAUAAACACAGUUUAGGGGCUCGACACGACGUGGGGCUCGAACUCACAACCAUGAGAUCAUGACCUGAGCUGAGUGAGAUCAAGUGUCAGAUGCUUAACCAACUGGGCCAUCCAGGUGCCCCAUUUGUCCAUUUUCUUUUAAGUAAAAAUGGUGUUUCAUGAAAAACGUGAUGCAUUCAGCAGCCCAGAUAAACAAUGAUGUAAAGUAGCUAUGACACGAUUGUACUUUAGUAUGUAGUCCUUUAUGCCAUCACCCUGAAUAUUAAGAAUUGGUAAGUGUCAAGACAAUAAAAUUAAAAUUUUUUAUUGCUUAAUCAACAAAAUUAUUUUUUUUGAAGUUUAUUAAUUUUGAGAGAGAGAGAGUGAGUGGGGGAGGAGCAGAGAGAGAGAGGGAGACAGAAAAUCCCAAGCAGGCUCCACACUGUGGGGCUCGAACUCAGGAACCAUGAGAUCAUGACCCAAGCCAAAACCAAGAGUCAGACGCUUAACCGACUGAGCCACCCAGGUGCCCCAUUAAUCAACAAAAUUCCCAAGUGAAACUGCUUUUUGCUCCCUUCGACCUCUGACCAUAGUGAAGAAUUCAAUGAUUACUGUUACAGUUUGGUACCCCAGCUUUGAUUUAUGCUACCUAACCAUUGCUUUUGCACAAUAAAUGCGAAUGCCAGCACAGUGGAAAGACACGUCACGUCUUAGUGUCAUAAAGAUAAUUUGGGCCUUGUUGACCUUUAGAAACUCCAGGGUCCACGGACCGUAUUUUGAGAAGCACUGUAAUAGUAUAUCAUAGGGUCCAUAGGAUAUGUGUAUUUUCAGUUUUACUAAGUAUUGCUAAACUUCUCCCCAAAUUGAUUAUCCCACUUUAUGCUCUGUGGCAAUUAAAAUACUGUUUGGCCACGAAUCACAAAGACCCAGGAUAACAGUGUCUUAAGUAAAAGGGAAAUUUUAGUGUUGCUGUGUGUGGUUGAACACACAGAAUACACUUAGUGGGGUCCCUGGAAUCACACAGUACACGACAUGUACAAUUUUAUGCAGUUUACGUAAGAUAAUUUUAUUUAUCUCAUGUAAGAGUUUAGAGGUAGCCGUCCCUGGGCUUGAAUGGUGGCUCUAUUCCAUGAAGUCUGUAAAGAUCUAGGUUUCUUUUAUUUUCUUCUGCCUUUAUGUCCUCCAUUCCCAAGGUUACUUCAUGAUCCAAGAUGACUGCUCCAACAAGUGCUUCCAUUUUUAGCCAGCAAGGAUAGGGAUGGGCACAAAUGCCUCAUGCCAGUGAUCUCCUGAGGGAAGUACCUGGAUGCUGCCCUGUGCCACUAGUGCAAGGGGGACUGAGAUACGUAUUUAUUUUGGAAGGCUAAAUGGCUGACUGAAAAUCAGGGAUUCUAAAAUCAUAGAGGAACAGGAGAAGAGAGGUUGGGGGACAAUUGGCAGUUUCUGCUGCAGUACUCUCUUUUGGCCAUUCUGGUUAUCUGUGCGCUCCGCUGUAUCUGGAACAAGCUCACUUCAUCCCUAGGGGAGACCAUUUGUAACAGUUCCAACAGUUGCAGCAUCCAGCUCACGGUUUAGGUUGUCUGAGUUACGUACAGUUUGUUCAAAAGGGUCUGAUGUAGAUUCUUGUGGUCCAGUGAUUUGAAAAUGAAAUGAUAUGUUGUUUGUUCUCCCAACAUAAUCAAUGUACAGUAGUUUAUAAAUUUAGUGAUUUAUAGACUGAAAAAUAUUUUAUGUGUCCCAAAUAUGCCAUGAGAGAGUAAGAAUAGGAUAAAAGGAUAAAACCUCUAUUUAGAAAAGGCAACAUGGGAAAUAUGUCAGUCUAUGGUCCGUGGCAAUUUCCAAAUCCUAUUAAGCAUGAAUAAUGAAGACCUCUACCCUGGAAGAAGAGAAAGUUACUUGUUUUGAAAGCUCCCAGCUCUGUCCUUUAGGGUUCUUCCUUGUUUUAUGCUUCAUGUUCACAUCUGGAGAGGGCACUGAAGAGUAUUCUCUUGUAUACUACACAGCAGGCUGCUUGUGUAGAAUAACUUGGGGGAGGGACCCUAUCAAAGAUUUCUGGAACUCUUUCUCUGAGUUGAUCCUCUCUCUCUCUCUCUCUGAAAAUUCCAAAUACCUUGGCCUCUGCAAGCUCUAACUCUGUCUUUUAAACUCAUCAUGACUGCCACACUCUGAUUUCUGGAAGUUCCUACAGUCCAGAAGUUCCUCUAUGUGGAAAAUGAGGGCAAUCAUAGGCUUUAUGUCAUUGAUUCCCUUAGGGAACACAGUCCUGUGCUGUCCUUUGUCCAAUGUCUGAAAAUAGUUGCUCCCUAUAUUUUGUUCAGUUUUCUGGGGUUUCCUACACACCCCCUUUGGAAGGAAGGAAAGUCUGAUAGCAGUUAUUCCAUAAUGGCUGGAAGCCAUUUAAAAAAUAAUAAAUAAUUCUUUAAAAAUCAUAAAUAAUUGUUGAAUGUUAUAAAAUUCACAUCUAUUGAGAUGCUUAUGCAAAUUUCCUCUUAGUCCAUGAAUGUGGUGGGUUACCAUUGGAAGUGAAAGUGAGAUAUUGAGCCAUCCUUGGAUUUCUGGGAUCAGAAUGCAUUUACAAAUAUAAACUGUUGAGUUUCAUUAUCUAGUAUUUUGUUGGGAAUUUUGUAUAUAUGCUUGUAAGUGAAAUAGACAUAUAAUUCAUUAAUUUUCUUGAGCUAGUCUUACAUGUUGUAGUUUCUUUUCUUUAAAACAAUUUUUUUUAAUGUUUAUUUAUUUUUGAGAGAGACAGAGACAGAAUGCGAGUGGGUUGGGGCAGAGAGAGAGGGAGGCACAGAAUCCGAAGCAGGCUCCAGGCUCCGAGCUGUCAGCACAGAGCCCAACGUGGGUCUUGAACUCACGAGCUGUGAGAUCAUGACCUGAGCCGAAGUCAGACGCUCAACCAACUGAGCCACUCAGGCGCCCCUAUAGUUUCUUUUCAUAAAAUGAAUGCAAAUGUAAUAUGGCAAGCUAGAUUCCUAAAUAGAACUUCCUGAUGAAAAUGUUUUGGACUUUUUUUUUUUUUUAGAUAUAGAGAGAAAGAGAGAGCAUGCGAAAACAGGAGAGGGGCAGAGGGAGACAAAGAGAGAAUCUUAAGCAGCCUCCACGCCCAGUGUGGAGCCCAAUGCAGGGCUCAAUCUCACAGCCAUGAGAUUGUGACUGGACCUGAAAUCAAGAGUCAGAUGCUUAACCAACUGAGCCACCCAGGUGCCCCAUAAAAUGAAGGAUAAACCAAAAAAUAACAAGUGUCGGCAAGGAUGUGGAGAAAAAGGAAUCCUCAUGCAUUAUUGGUAAGAAUGCAAACUGGUACAGCCACUGUGAAAACAGUAUGGAGGUUCCUCAAAAAAUUAAAAAUAGAAAUACUGUAUGAUCCAGUAAUUAAUACUGGGUAUUUACCCAAAGAAAACAAACACCAUUUCAAAAAGAUAUAUGCACCCAUAUGUUUAUUGCAGCAUUAUCUAGAAUAGCCAAGAUAUGGAAGCAGCCAAUGUCCAAUGAUAGAAGAAUGGAUAUAUACACACAUAUAUUUUAUACACACAUACAUAUAGAAUAUAUAUACACACACAUACACAUACACAUAUAAUGGAUUAUUACUCAGCAAUGAAAAAGAAUGAGAUCUUGCCAUUUGCGACUACAUGGAUGGACUUUAGAGGGUAUUACUCUAAGUCAAGUAAGUCAAACAGAGAAAGACACAUACCAUAUGAUUUCACUUAUAUGUGGAAUCUAAAAAACAAACAAACAAAAAGCAGAAACAGACCCAUAAAUACAGAGAACAAACUGAUGGGGUGGGGGGUGGGCAGAAUGGGUGAAGGGGAGUGAGAGACACAGGCUUCCAGUUAUGGGGUAAAUGGGAAUGUAAGGGAAUACAAGGUAGAGCAUAGGGAAUACAGUCAGUGGUCUUGUAACAGCAUUGUGUGAUGACAGAUGGUGAGCACAGCAUAAUGCAUAGACUUGUCCAAUCUCUAUGUUGUACACCUGAAACUAACGUAACAUUAUGUGUCAACUAUACUUCAGUAAAAGAAUGUAGGACAAACUGUUUUCUUAAAAAGUGUUUUCAAAAGUCAUUGAUGAUCUAAUAAGAAAAUAAGGGACGAAGUAAGAAGGGAGGCCAGAGGGGCAGUGGAGCACAGCAUACUGUGUUUGAUCAGAGCCAUUUGAUGAACAGAGAGAAUUUGAUUGGGGUUUUAUAGCCUAUGCUAUGAAUAGAUAGUUAAAUAGUGUCCUCCCCAACAGUGCAUACCCACCCAGAACCUCAGAAUGUGACCGUAUUGGGAUACCUGGUUGGCUCAGUCAGUGGAGUGUGCAACUCUUGAUCUUAAGGUCAUGAGUUCAAGCCUCACCUUGGGCAUGGAGCCUACCUAAAAAAAAAAGUGCCCUUAUUUAUAAAUAGUGUCUUUGUAGAUAAAAUUAGUUAAAAUAAAGUCACACUGGAUUAGGGUGGGUCCUAAUCCGAUUACUGGUAUCCUUAUAAUAAGAGAGAAAUUUGGGCACCUGGGUGGCUCAAGUCAUUAGGUAUCUGACUUUGGCUCAGGUCAUGAUCUCACAGUUUGUGAGCUCGUGCCCUGCUUCAGGUGAGUUCGGGCUGCACUUCUGGUGAGCCCCGUUUCUCUCCCUCUGUCUCUCUGUCCAUGCUCACUUGUGUCCCCCCCUCAAUCAACAAUUUUUUUUUAAUAGAGACUAAUUUUAAAAAUAGGGAUAUUUGGACACAGACACAAAAACCUAGGAGAGAAGCUCAUGGGACAAUGUAGGCAGAGAUUGGCGGGAUGCAUUUAUGAACCAAGGAGCUGGAAACCACCAGAAGCUGGGAAGAGGCAAGGGAGAACCCUCUCCUAGAGCCUUUGGAGAGAGUCUCGCCCUGCUGACAUGUUGACUUGGGGCUUCUAGCCUCCAGAAAUACGAGAGAACAAAUUUUUGUUGUUGAAGCCACCAACUUUGUGGUACUUUUUAAUGGCAGCCCUAGAAAAUGAAUAUGUACCCUUUGAAACGCAGAAGACAGAGACAAAUCAGAGUCUGUUAAGGAGGAGAAUUUAAUAAGAAACCAAUCCUCUGCAAACCUUGGACUUCAAAGAGUUAAACCCUCAGUAUUAGGGUGAAUUAGAGAAAUACUCUGUCCUUCGGGGAGUGCAAAGAAAAUUAUUUCAAGUUUGGGGUGAAGUGAAGUGUGUGUGUGUGUGUGUGUGUGUGUGCAAGAGAGAGACAGAGAUGCUGAAAACUUAGAAGAGGAAGCUGGCCCUCGUGUAGGUUGGCGGUUCAAGUUCAUAUGGUCAGGGUGCUCCAAGAACCCUUCGAUGGGACAUUGAAUAUAGAGUGACCUCAGGUUGCUAAUGCUUAUAGGUGCCUGGUAGAUAAAAUACAAACUCUCCCUGGUGGUUUCUACCUCCUCCUAGGCCACAGAGUUUCCCACGAAUGCAAUCCCAAGGCUAAUGGGCAUCCCUAAGUUAAAAAAAAAAAAGGUGAUGAAUGAUAUUGAGGGAUCAUGAGAACAAACCAGCAGUAACCACAGACAGUACGCUUCAGGUAAUGGAAUUAUCAAAUGUGUUACAAAAGGCCUAUGUUCAAUAUCAUUUAAGUAAUAAAUGGUAAGGCUGAAAAUAUGUGUGGAAACUGAGAAACUAUGAAGAAUAAUCAAACUUUCUGAAAAGAAGUUCCAGACGGAAGUUCUAAAAGUUUUAAAUUAGUUUAUGUUUCACUUGAAUUUUAAUUUCAAAUAAAUGUAAAACUCAGUGCGCAGCUUGAAUAAUAGCAAAUAAUAAACAACUGAAGAGUGAAUGCAUGAACUAAGAGAUAAAUGAGAAUCAAUUAUCCUGGAUAUUGCCUGGAAGAUGUACAGGCAUUAAGAGCCACAGAGGCUAGAAUGAGAAGGUCCACGGGGUCUGAGUGGGGCCCCCGGUGAGAAAGAGGAAAUGGGGGAGGCGAUAUUCAAGGACACACUGGCUGUGAAAUUUCUAAACUGAGGAAACUAUAUGGAGAAAUCCAUAUGGUUAAGAGGCUUAGGGGGAGCCUGGGUGGCUCAGUUGGUUAAGCGUCCGACUGUUGAUCUUGGCUCAGGUCAUGAUCUCACGGUUCAUGAGUUCGAGCCCCACGUUGGGCUCUGAGCUGACAGCCUGGAGCCUGCUUAGGAUUCUCUGUCUCCCUCUCUCUGCCCCUCCCCCUCUAACUCUCUCUGCUUCUCUCUCUCUCUCUCUCUCAAAAAUAAAUAAACAUUAAAAAAAGGUUAGUAAACCUCAGGCCGAAAAAAACAGAAAAACAAAUGGACACCUAGAUCCACUGUAUUGAAACUUCAGAAACCCAAAGACAAAGGAGAAAGUCCUAAAUGAAGCUGGAGAGGAAAGAGAAAUGGUCUUCAAGAGAAUGGGGGACUGAGAAAUGACUUCUUGCAGCAACAAGGCAAUUCAGAAGACAGCAAAAUGAUACCUUUGAGAUGUUGGUGGCAACAAAUUACCUGACCUAGAUUUCUGUAUCCAGUAAAAUGAUUUUUGGGGAGUUAGGGCAAAAUAAAGAAUUUCCUAGACAAAUGGAGAGUUUACUGCACAGAGCUCCCAAUUAAAAAAAUGCUAAAUAUUGUAUGUCAGGCAAAAGGAAAGGGUAUCACAGGAAGGUCUGAGGUGCAAGUAAGGAAGAAUACAUAAAGAGGUAAACAUUUGGGUAAAUCUAAGUAAACAUUGACUCUUUAAAGCAAAAAUAACAAUUCCAGGGCACGUGGGUGGCUCAGUCAGUUAAGCAUCUGACUUCGGCUCAGGUCAUGACCUCACAGCUUGUGGGUUUGAGACCCAGAUCAGGCUCUGUGCUGACAGCUCGGAGCCUGGAGUCUGCUUCAGAUCCUGUGUCUCCCUCUCUCUCUGCCUCUCCCCUGCUUGUGCUCUGUCUCUGUCUCUGUCUUUCUCAAAAAUAAAUAAACAUUAAAAAAACUUUUUAGGGGUACCUGGGUGGCUCAGUCAGUUAAGCGUCCGACUUCGGCUCAGGUCAUGAUCUCAUGGUCUGUGAGUUCCAGCCCCGCGUCGGGCUCUGUGCUGACAGUUCAGAGCCUGGAGCCUGCUUCGGAUUCUGUGUCUCCCUCUCUAUCUGCCCCUCCCCUGCUCAUGCUCUGUCUUUCUCUGUCUCAAAAAUAAGUAAAAACACUAAAAAGAAAAAAAAAAACCUUUUUAAAGCAAAAAUAACAAUUCCUUGUGUGUCUCUAAAAGGAAAAUUAAAAUGUACAAUGAAAUUUAAUUGGGACUGCAGUGAAUCCAGUUAGAGUCUUCUAGGAUCUUUAUGCUGUUCAGGAAGAGGAUAGAAACAUCCAUUAACUUUAGGCUUUGUUAAGAGUAAACUGGGUGUCAUAAGUAAAAGGGUGCCUUAGAUCAGAUUCUUUCAAAAAUAGGGGCUGGGACAAGGGUUCAGGGGUGAGUAGCUUAUUUGGAGGUACAGGAAAUGAAGGUGACAGGGUGGGAGGAGGAGGCAGGGAAGAGAAAAAGGGGCAUCAUGCCAGUGGCCUGGUCCUUGUUAUCUAACCUGUAGUCUGUGCUGCAAGAUUGAUAAAGGCAAUUUUUGUCAACCAAAUAAGGAAAUUAUGCUGGAAUUUCUAGGGUAACAAGUUUGUGAAUGGAAGAGGCCUUGUACAUCUCCACUCUGGGCCUCCCACAACCUUUCAGGACCUCUCCCUGGUCAGGCUGACCACUGUCUAGUGUGUCUUUGGGAAGGACAGGGGAAACUUGAGAAGCCAUUCUCCCCAAAUAUUCCCCAGCCUGAUAUUUCCUGGAGUGCUUUGCUGGGGUAGUCCCUUUGCACUCAUCACAACAAAUGGGAAGGUCUCUGAGAUUCAUGUUGUCAAGGCUCCAGUAUAGUCCCAUGUGGGACAAUGAUCCUGGUCAAGUGUGAAGACUCGUGUGAAAACGUACAGUCCUCUUCUGUAUUCAAUUUUUAUGUAACUGUCUUUGGGUGUCCUACUCUGUAUGAAGAAAUGUUUUAAGACAUUGAGAUUUCAGAGAUUGUUGCUAUUUCCUAAGAGUAACAAUCCCUUAAAAAACUUCAACUCUGAUUUAUUGUCAUGACCAUUUUCCUUAUUGGUAGAAAUCUGUUUUCUGAAAGGCAUAACUGUUUGUGAGAUUCCUUUCUUAAACCAUAAAGGAUAUUCUUUUACUGUCUUUUUCUUGAAGGCAUAACAAUAUCUGUAAACACCAUGACUUUGGAUUCCUUGUUUAUUCCUAGAUUUUGCUUGUUUGCUGAUGGAAAUGAUCCAGAAGAGAAGGAGACAUUGAUGAUGCAAGAGAGAAGAGCUUGAAUGGCAGUGAGAACAAUGAGAGGGUCACCAUACUGGAGAUCUGUGGCUUUAGAACAUGGCCCCCAAUUCCUUGACACUCCUCCUACUGCCUACUGAGAGGUGGGUCUAUGACCUCUCUCUUGAAUCUGGAGGGUCUUGGGACUACUUUGACCAAUAGGUAUGAAAGUCAUAUAGCAGAAGUGAUGCCAUAUGACUUUCAAAGCUAUAUCAUAAAAGGCCAUGCAGCUUCUGCCUGGCCCUCCUAGGAUACUCACUCUGGAGGAAGCCAGCCAUCUUGUAAAAAGUCCAGUUACCCUGAGACUAUACCAUGCCAGAGAGGCCAGGUGUAGGUGCUGGUUGACAGCCCCAGCUGAGCUCUCAGUCGAUAGUCAAUAUCAACUGCCAGCCUUGUGAGUGAGCCAUCUUGGACAUCCAGGCCAGCUGAUCUCUGACAGUAACCACACCACACCAAAAGCCCCAGACAAGGACUUUUAAAUCCCAAAUUUAUGACUGCAAAACUGUAAGCAGAAUAAAAUGCUUUUAAAAAAAUCAACUUAGUGAUAAUUUUCUACACAGCAAUAGUAAUUGGAACAGGCUUCUUAUUGGGUCAAAGAAUUGUGGGUGUCAUUGUGAUAAUAGUAAGAAAGCAAGAAAAGUAGGAGGCGUUGGUCAGAGAACUGGAUGCCUAAAAUCAAAAUUCAGGAGGUGGUGG
rnacentral:lncRNA from 1 species